rnacentral:tRNA from 1 species
GUAAUUUUAGUUAAAAUAUAACGUUAGCUUGUCAGGCUAAAAUUACUCUCUGAUUAAAUUACU